GCUGUAAUUGCCAUUUCUCCUCCCCUGUACAGUUCGUGAGAAGGCAACAAGUUCUCCUCCUCUACAGAAGGAUUUUGCAGGCAAUUCGGCAAGUUCCAAAUGAUUCUGAUCGCAAAUACCUGAAGCACUGGGCAAGGGAAGAAUUCAAAAGAAACAAAAGUGCCACCGAAGAGGAUACAAUCCGGAUGAUGAUUACUCAAGGCAAUAUGCAGCUCAAAGAGUUAGAGAAAACACUUGCUUUAGCCAGAUCUUAACUACAGCAUUAUUCUGAAAGGUUUUCAAAGUCUCCAUGUGUUUAGUUGAGCUUAGGCUCAACAGUGGGUAGCCCAAAGCCAAGUGAAACUGUCUGUACAUAGAGCCCUUGAGCAAAAUAUCGGAACAUGGAGCAUGGCAUAUCAGAGAGAGCCAAGAAAAGGGCAUAAGAGCAAUUGUCUUAGCACUGAAAACAUACCUUUUAUUUUGAAAAUGUUCUUGGAUAUGUCAGCAGUUUUUGGAAGAAGCAAAAACCAGUACGAUAGCACAUAAAAAGAUGUUCAACACCAUUAAUCAUUAGGAAAAUGCAAAUCAAAACCACCAAGAGAUACUAUUUACAUCCACUAGAAUGGCUAUAAUUAAAAAGGGAGAUAAUUGCAAAUGUUGGCGAGGAUGUGGAGAAACUGGAACCCUUAAACACUGCUGGUGGGACUAUAAAAUUGUGCAGCCACUUUGGAAAAAAAGACUGUCAGUUGCCCAAAAGGUUAAACAGCAUUAUUCAUAAUAGCCAAAAAGUAGACAAUCCAAAUGCCCACCAGCUGAUUAAUGGAUAAGUAAAACGUGGUAUACCCAUACAAUAAAAUAUUAUUUAGCAAAC